UACAGAGGGUGCAAACGUUGCUCGGAAUUACUGGGCGUAAAGCGCGUGUAGGCGGUUUCGUAAGCCCGACGUGAAAGCCCGGGGCUCAACCCCGGAAGUGCGUUGGAUACUGUGAAGCUGGAGUCCUGAAGAGGAGAGCGGAAUUCCCGGUGUAGAGGUGAAAUUCGUAGAUAUCGGGAGGAACACCUGCGGCGAAGGCGGCUCUCUGGGCAGGUACUGACGCUGAGACGCGAAAGCGUGGGGAGCAAACAGG
rnacentral:rRNA from 1 species